AGGUCUAACGCGGAUGGCUGUGAGUUGGCUUAAUCUCAGCUGGCAACUGUGAGAUGUUCAUACAAUCCCUCACAGUGGUCUCUGGGAUUACGCUAAACAGAGCAAUUUCCUUGCCCUCAUGAAGCAAAAGACUUGCAUGGCAACCAAAA
rnacentral:miRNA from 1 species